rnacentral:lncRNA from 1 species
AGGUGUGACCAGGUGGCCGCCAGGGCGCUGGGCGGGCGAGACCCAAAGACACUUCCCGGAAUUGCAGAUGCGCCCUCUACUAUCGGCCUCUGCAGGCCUCUCCUCCCGGCUUGCUGGUGUCCUCAAGAAGGAGAGGACAGGCUCCCCACCUCUCUCCUUUCUCCAGCCCUUGUAGAACUCAGGUCACCAACUGGGGAGUCACGUUAUCCUCCCUGUGCUGUGCCACCUUCCUCUUCGGAGGCUGGGCUGGGAGUAAACUUGUCACCGGCAUCACUGUCAGACUACCACAGGACCCGGGGCCAGCGGGAUAAAGGAAGCUGCUCAAACUGACCGAUUUCCACGUGACCUCUUUUCUUCCCACCUCCAUCCGCCCUGAGCCGUUGCUAAGGUGCUGGAUAGGUGGGUGAGGGGCGGGUGCUGCUGCUGUGCGGGGGCCCCCUCUGCCCCGGCCCCUCCAGACCAUCUUCAGGUGAGGCAGCGUGCAAGGACUGUGCCAAGCCGUCUUGCAGCCUGGAAGCCAAGGU